ensembl:lncRNA
UGCCCCCGGAGUCCCCGAGAGGACACCGCGGCGCCGACAGCGAACCGGCGGCCGGCUCUGCGGCUCAACCGCGCGGCGCACAGCCCGCUCCGCGUCCGCAGGACGGAAGCCGGCAGGCUAAACACAGAACACACACUGAGCGAUCACUCCCAAGACAUUACAAAGUCCAGACUGUAAUUAAACUUUAAUUAGCGUCCGGCCGCCACCGGGCCGGCGCCAUCCUCACGCGCAGGCGCCACGGCGCAGACGCCGACGCCGCGCCGCAGGGAUUCCGCCGGCUGCCCGACGGUCCGACCCCGCGGCUCGGCGCGGGCCACGGCGCCUCAAGAGGGUGUGAGGCGCGAACGGAGAAACACGGCCGCAGGGCCGGCUACUGGCCGGCUACCGCCCGCCGAAGAAGGCGCGUCCGGCCGCUCUCUGACGCAAACUCUCGGCGCCUUGGCGCGGCGGUGACGUCAGCGUGCGUCAGCGCGUGCCCCGCCUGGGCGGGGCUGGGGACGCCGGAGCCGAGCCGGCCGGCCGCAUCUCCGGAGGCAGCCGCCGUUCGGAUUCACGGAGGCCGCCGGCCGUCGCGCCGUUUCCUCGUGUGCUGCCCUGGCCCCGCGAUUAACAGCCCUGACGAGUCUACUUUUUUCUCCCCUCAUUUCUUUCCCGGGCAGUAAUAAAUCCCAUUAUGGAGAACCAGAAACUUUAUAAAGGGAUAUAGCUUGAAUUUUGUGGAGUGUAAUUUUGUGUAUGAUUAUAGUUUUAAAAUAGCAAGGGUUUUCAGAAAGAAGGCUAGUAGGGUUAAUUAUUGAUAUUUUGUGCAUAAACAGUUUUGUUUAUAUCAUGCAUAUGUGAUAACACUAGGAAGUUGCUGUAUCGUGAUAAGUUGAUUUAUGUUUACAAAAUGAGUGAUUUAGAUACAUGAUUUUUAAAGAUAGGCUAUUUAAUUUUUAAAUGCAGUGUUAAGUUCCUGUUGUGGAAAUUUUAUGGUUAAAUAGUUUAUGGAGAAAAUACCUUCAGUUGAUCAAGUAUAAUUGGUAUGCAGAGUGAGGAAGAAAGACAAACCAUGAUGCUGCAGAAAAUGGAAACAAAUACAGACAAUAUUUAACAAAGGUGGAAGAGUUUAGCUUUAAGCAAGAUCUGUUUGACAUCAUACACACUAGAACAGGUGUGGGUUCAGCACAGCUUGUGGGUGUUGAUAUCCCCAAAAGUUGUUACUGAAGCUAGUACCACCCACUUAAGUAAAUACUGUAGUGAUCACCUGUGUGAAACUAGCCUUUAGAUAAUAUGACCAUAUGAAGACUUUAAUUCUUGUUUGCUAGAACGAAACAAGAUUUUUAAAAAUACCAUAUUAAAGGGCUUGAAAGAAACCUGCAUAUAGUUUUUUCCAAUUGGAGCAUAAUCAGUAAUUGGCUUGAUAAACAGGCUUUGUAGCUUGUAACUAAAAGCAUAUUGAAGGGAUAAUUUAGGUACCCUAUAAUUUAGAAUUUUGGGAAUAUCAACCUCCUCGAAAAAUGAAGCAGUUUUAACAUAUUUCAGUAAGUCUGCCAAUUUCAGGUCUUUAUGUUAGUAUUACACCAAAUAAUGAGCAGUUAGCCCUUGAGUUACGUAAGGGUUAAUCUGAAACAGUACUAGGUGAUAUCUUGGUAAUUUAGGGCAGAUACGCAUCCCACCUGA